rnacentral:rRNA from 1 species
GUCCAGACUCCUACGGGAGGCAGCAGUGGGGAAUAUUGCACAAUGGGGGAAACCCUGAUGCAGCGACGCCGCGUGAGUGAAGAAGUAUCUCGGUACGUAAAGCUCUAUCAGCAGGGAAGAAAAUGACGGUACCUGACUAAGAAGCCCCGGCUAACUACGUGCCAGCAGCCGCGGUAAUACGUAGGGGGCAAGCGUUAUCCGGAUUUACUGGGUGUAAAGGGAGCGUAGACGGCGAUGCAAGCCAGAUGUGAAAGCCCGCGGCUCAACUGCGGUAGUGCAUUUGGAACUGUAUGGCUGGAGUGCAGGAGAGGCAGGCGGAAUUCCUAGUGUAGCGGUGAAAUGCGUAGAUAUUAGGAGGAACACCAGUGGCGAAGGCGGCCUGCUGGACUGUAACUGACGUUGAGGCUCGAAAGCGUGGGGAGCAAACAGGAUUAGAUACCCCAGUA